rnacentral:lncRNA from 1 species
GCUCAUCACUUGAAAAACUAAGCCACGUAAGUACACAGCUUCGGCAGACAGUACAACCCCACAAAAUCUUCGCAGCUUGCGCCCGGUCAGACGGGGUCAGAGGCAGGGGAGGAGGGCCUCCCCUGGUCAGAGGCCUUCUUCUACGCGCCUUACCGGACCGUCGCUCCCACGCUGACUGACCGCAGCUCACAGGACCCGCUGUGCGUUCCGCUUGCACAUUCCCCGGGUGCCUACAUAACAUACCAGUCACGCCGG